UCAAGCCAGUGAUGAUAAAAGUUAUCCCUGUCUGAACACAAGUGUGGACUUAUGGUAACCUGAGGCUUGA
ensembl:snoRNA